GCCUCCUUAGCUCAGUUGGUAGAGCAUCUGUCUUGUAAACAGAAGGUCGUCGGUUCGAGUCCGACAGGGGGCU
rnacentral:tRNA from 2 species